rnacentral:rRNA from 1 species
GAACGUGCCCUUUGGUUCGCAACAACCCAGGGAAACUUGGGCUAAUACCGGAUACGCCCUUACGGGGAAAGAUUUAUCGCCGAAGGAUCGGCCCGCGUCUGAUUAGCUAGUUGGUGGGGUAACGGCCCACCAAGGCGACGAUCAGUAGCUGGUCUGAGAGGAUGAUCAGCCACACUGGGACUGAGACACGGCCCAGACUCCUACGGGAGGCAGCAGUGGGGAAUCUUGGACAAUGGGCGCAAGCCUGAUCCAGCCAUGCCGCGUGGGUGAUGAAGGCCCUAGGGUUGUAAAGCCCUUUCGGCGGGGAAGAUAAUGACGGUACCCGCAGAAGAAGCCCCGGCUAACUUCGUGCCAGCAGCCGCGGUAAUACGAAGGGGGCUAGCGUUGCUCGGAAUCACUGGGCGUAAAGCGCACGUAGGCGGAUCCUUAAGUCGGGGGUGAAAUCCUGGAGCUCAACUCCAGAACUGCCUUUGAUACUGAGGAUCUCGAGUCCGGGAGAGGUGAGUGGAACUGCGAGUGUAGAGGUGAAAUUCGUAGAUAUUCGCAAGAACACCAGUGGCGAAGGCGGCUCACUGGCCCGGUACUGACGCUGAGGUGCG